rnacentral:rRNA from 1 species
UACGAAGGGGGCUAGCGUUGCUCGGAAUGACUGGGCGUAAAGGGCGCGUAGGCGGCUUGCAUAGUCAGAUGUGAAAUUCCUGGGCUUAACCUGGGGGCUGCAUUUGAUACGUGUGGGCUUGAGUGCGGAAGAGGGUCGUGGAAUUCCCAGUGUAGAGGUGAAAUUCGUAGAUAUUGGGAAGAACACCAAUGGCGAAGGCAGCUCUCUGGGACGGUACUGACGCUGAGACGCGAAAGCGUGGGGAGCGAACAGG